rnacentral:ncRNA from 1 species
AAUAAAGCUUUGAAGAGAAGAGUAGCUGAUACGUCAUAAACACAGAGACCCCGGUCGGUGAAAAAGGGGAUUAUAAACGUCAGUGAAGAUGAGCUCUGAGCUAUUUGGCUUGUUCACGCGGACCAAACGGGAAGUGACCGAUAUAUCACCGGGUAUCAACAGGUACCGAUGAGGCAUUAUUCGCAAGAGUAAUGUAAAUGAGGGUGGUAGCGCGAAAACAUUCGUCCCUUUA